GGGCAGGCGCACUGGUCUGUAACGGAUUGGCUUGGCCUUACCCGCGAGGCUUUGCGGUGGCUGCUUGGCUUGGCGGUGGUCGCUUGGCUUGGCGUGGCAGUGAUCGCUUGGCUUGGCAUUUCUGGCUUGGCGGUCCUCCUUUCGCAGAUUGGAAACCGCGGGCUAUCCUGCUGGGAGGUUGUGGCCGAGGCAGUAGCUCGCUACUGAUGGCCUCCUGGGGUGGAGAAAAGCGGGGAGGGGCUGAGGGGUCUCCGAAGCUGGCAGUCUACGCCACGAGGAAGACCCGUAGCGUCAGGAGCCAGGAGGACCAGUGGUACUUGGGCUACCCGGGGGACCAGUGGUCUUCGGGCUUCUCCUACAGCUGGUGGAAAAAUAGCGUCGGCAGCGAGAGCAAGCACGGUGAGGGCGCCUUAGACCAGCCCCAGCACGACGUCCGCCUGGAAGAUCUUGGCGAGCUCCACAGAGCUGCCCGGUCGGGCGACGUCCCUGGGGUGGAGCACGUCUUGGCUCCUGGAGACACUGGCGUGGACAAGAGGGAUAGGAAGAAGAGCAUUCAGCAACUAGUUCCUGAAUAUAAGGAAAAACAGACACCUGAAAGUCUUCCUCAAAAUAACAAUCCAGAUUGGCAUCCUACUAAUUUGACCCUUAGUGAUGAGACUUGUCAGAGAUCCAAGAAUCUGAAAGUUGGUGAUAAAAGUCCAUCUGUAUCACCAUCAAUGCCUGAAAAUCAGUCAGCAACCAAAGAACUGGGACAGAUGAACUUAACAGAACGAGAAAAAAUGGACACUGGAGUUGUACUUCUCUCAGGGAAUGAUACUCUCCAUGACCUGUGCCAAUCACAGCUACCAGAAAACAAAGAGAGCAAAGAAGAACAAGACUUGGAGCUGACAUCAGAGGAAGAGCAAGAAAGACUUAAAGGAUGCGAAAAUAAGCAGCCACAGAAAACGUCUCAAGAACCAGAAAUGGCUAAGGAUUGUGAUAGAGAGGAUAUACCUAUAUAUCCAGUACUUCCUCAUGUGCAAAAAUCUGAGGAAAUGUGGAUUGAACAAGGCAAAUUAGAGUGGAAAAACCAAUUAAAACUCGUCAUAAAUGAGUUAAAGCAGAGGUUUGGUGAAAUUUAUGAAAAAUACAAAAUUCCGGCUUGUCCUGAGGAAGAGCCACUACUUGAUAACUCUACAAGAGGAACAGAUGUGAAGGAUAUUCCCUUUAAUUUGACAAAUAACAUACCUGGUUGUGAGGAAGAAGAUGCAUCUGAAAUAUCUGUCUCAGUGGUAUUCGAGACAUUUCCUGAACAAAAAGAACCCAGUCUCAAAAAUAUCAUCCAUCCAUACUAUCAUCCGUACUCUGGGUCCCAGGAACAUGUUUGCCAGUCAUCUUCUAAGCUUCAUUUACAUGAAAAUAAAUUAGACUGCGACAAUGAUAACAAACUAGGCAUUGGACAUAUUUUUAGUACAGAUAACAACUUUCAUAAUGAUGCAAGCACUAAGAAAGCAAGGAACCCAGAAGUGGUUACGGUUGAAAUGAAAGAAGACCAAGAGUUUGAUUUGCAAAUGACAAAAAAUAUGAACCAAAAUAGUGACAGUGGCAGUACAAAUAACUAUAAAAGCCUGAAACCUAAAUUAGAAAAUCUGAGUUCUUUACCACCAGAUUCUGACAGAACAUCAGAAGUAUAUCUACAUGAAGAAUUACAGCAAGACAUGCAAAAGUUUAAGAAUGAGGUCAACACAUUAGAAGAAGAGUUCCUGGCUUUGAAGAAAGAAAAUGUUCAACUUCAUAAAGAGGUUGAAGAAGAAAUGGAGAAGCACAGAAGUAAUAGCACAGAAUUAUCAGGAACCCUAACUGAUGGUACUACUGUUGGCAAUGAUGAUGAUGGACUAAAUCAGCAGAUUCCUAGGAAGGAAAAUGAAGAGCAUGACAGGCCUGCAGAUAAAACAGCUAAUGAAAAGAACAAGGUCAAAAACCAAAUAUAUCCUGAGGCUGACUUUGCUGACUCAAUGGAGCCAUCUGAAAUAGCCUCAGAGGAUUGUGAAUUGUCUCACUCUGUUUAUGAGAAUUUUAUGUUGCUGAUUGAACAACUUAGAAUGGAGUAUAAAGAUUCUGCUAGCCUACCAAGAAUCCAAGACACAUUUUGUUUGUGUGAACACUUACUGAAACUUAAGAAUAAUCACUGUGACCAACUUACAGUAAAACUUAAACAAAUGGAAAAUAUGGUCAGUGUACUACAAAAUGAGCUAUCUGAAACAAAAAAGACAAAAUUACAGUUAGAACUUCAAAAAAUUGAAUGGGAGAAAGAGCUGUACGAUUUGAGACUUGCCUUAAAACAAGAAAAUGGGAGAAAAGAAAUGCCGAUAUGUUGUAUAAUAAAGAUAGUGAACAGUUAAGAAUAAAAGAAGAGGAGUGUGGGAAAGUGGUUGAAACAAAGCAACAACUUAAAUGGAAUCUGAGAAGACUUGUUAAGGAAUUGAGGACAGUAAGAAAUAACUUGGAUCUGGUUGUGCAGGAGAGAAACGAUGCCCAGAAGCAACUUUCUGAAGAACAGGAUGCCAGAAUAUUACAAGAUCAGAUUCUGACAAGUAAACAAAAGGAACUAGAAAUGGCUCAAAAGAAAAUGAAUUCUGAGAUUUCUCAUAGGCAUCAGAAAGAAAAGCAUCUCUUUCAUGAAAAUUGCAUGUUGCAGGAAGAAAUUGCCUUGCUGAGACUGGAAAUAGAUACAAUAAAAAAUCAGAACAAGCAAAA
ensembl:lncRNA CCDC144BP coiled-coil domain containing 144B, pseudogene